AGAAUGUGAAACUAGCCAAGGAAUGAUUUCCAAAUUCCAUGGCCUAUUUAAGAAAUCUUGAUUGAAAUCUAUGGAAUUGUCCCUCUGAACCCUAACGAUAGAUCCUAUGUUGAUUGGCUUAAAGUGUCAAAUAAUGCAUUCCAUAAGAGACUGUGUCAAUUCCAUUUGAUGGCAUUUCUCUGUUACUUAAGAAAAUGGGAAAUCAAACAUGAAAG
rnacentral:misc_RNA from 1 species